rnacentral:rRNA from 1 species
CCUACGGGAGGCUGCAGUGAGGAAUAUUGGUCAAUGGGCUUACGCCUGAACCAGCCAAGUCGCGUGAGGGAAGACUGCCCUAUGGGUUGUAAACCUCUUUUGUCAGGGAGCAACGCCGGCUACGUGUAGCCGGACUGAGAGUACCUGAAGAAAAAGCAUCGGCUAACUCCGUGCCAGCAGCCGCGGUAAUACGGAGGAUGCGAGCGUUAUCCGGAUUUAUUGGGUUUAAAGGAUGCGUAGGCGGAAUGCCAAGUCAGCGGGAAAAUCGCGGGGCUCAACCGCGAUCCGCCGUUGAUACUGGCGUUCUUGAGUGGGCUAGAAGUAUGCGGAAUGCGUGGUGUAGCGGUGAAAUGCAUAGAGAUCACGCAGAUCUCCGAUUGCGAAGGCAGCAUACCGGCGCCCAACUGACGCUGAAGCACGAAAGCGUGGGUAUCGAACAGGAUUAGAUACCCGAGUAGUC